rnacentral:rRNA from 1 species
AAUGGACGGUACAAAGAGCUGCAAGACCGCGAGGUGGAGCUAAUCUCAUAAAACCGUUCUCAGUUCGGAUUGUAGGCUGCAACUCGCCUACAUGAAGCUGGAAUCGCUAGUAAUCGCGGAUCAGCAUGCCGCGGUGAAUACGUUCCCGGGCCUUGUACACACCGCCCGUCACACCACGAGAGUUUGUAACACCCGAAGUCGGUGGGGUAACCUUUUUGGAGCCAGCCGCCUAAGGGGGGACAAAUGAUUGGGGUGAAGUCGUAACAAGGUAGCCGUAUCGGAAGGUGCGG